GCAAGCGCCAGCUUUGCUGGCGCGCGCAGCGAGCCGAAGGCGAGCGAAGUCCAUCAAGGACGAGUUCGCGCCGGCUCGUACGCAACCUAAGUCAAGGCCGACUCGAGCCGUCCACUUCGGUGGCAAGGCUCACGAGGGUCUGAAUCCCGGGUCUUCCCGGUAACUCGUUCAAUCGGGGGAUUCUCGGUCGGUCGCUCGCGCUGUCGCCGCACGUUAUUCGUUUUUCGGAGACCGCAAACAAACGCGAGACGUUUGUGCGCAGCGAGCCGAAGGCGAGCGAAGUUCAAGCAGGAAGGCUCCGCGUUUCGCGGCCGCUAGCGCGGUCGGGUAUCGAAUCAGCGGGCCUGUAGCUCAGUUGGUUAGAGCGUCCGCCUGAUAAGCGGGAGGUCGGAAGUUCAAAUCUUCCCAGGCCCACCAGCUCCGGCUUCCUUCGGAAGCCUACGCUGGUCUGGGGUUUAGGGGGGCCAAUCUUUCGCGUUGCCUCUUCGUUUUUCGGGGCUGUAGCUCAGCUGGGAGAGCGCGGGGCUUUGCAAGCCUGAGGUCGUCGGUUCGAUCCCGAUCAGCUCCACCAGGUUUUUCGCAAGCGAACGCUUUGCGUUCGCGCGCAGCGAGGCCGAAAGCCU
rnacentral:tRNA from 1 species